AAAAAAUGAGCUUUAAAAAUGAGCAAUGUGGGGGGCAUUUUAAUUUAUAUAAUAGUAUGUAAAUUAUAAACUUCAUAUUUAAUCUCUGAGCUUCAGAAAUAGUCAAGAAACAAUGGAUGGUUCUUUGUUGGCUUAGAAAUAAUUUCCUAGAAUACAACUUGGGUCAUUUUUUGUCUGAAUAUUUGAACAAGGGAAGCCUUGUGUUUCUUUUUCUCCUGGGAAUGCAUGUUCCCAUGUGGGGAGGAGAGAGCUGCUUACCCAUUCCUCCCACUCCUUGUUGCUGCCAUGGCGGCUGGUGCAGGGAGGUUGCAGGGCAGGGACAGAAUGGGGCUAUUUCUUUUUGUUUUGAUGACUAUGAUAUACCAGUUAUUGGGCAAGGCGCUAGGAAAAAAUAUAUCUAUACAAACAGAAGCCACUAAUUCUGAAUUUGGGCAUCAGGGGAGAAGUUUUGGGAUGGAUUGGCAGUUGAGCUAUAUCUUGGAGCACCAGUAGUUUUCUAAUUAAGGAAAUAGGAGGGAAGAACAUUCUAGGCUGAGAGCACAGCCUAAGCAAAAGCAUGGAGGUGGGAGUGGAAAUACUUGAGGAAUAUUCUAGAGCAGGGAUCUACAUGUGGCCCACUGAGGACAUUUAUCCGGCCCACUGGGUAUUUUUGCCGCCGCUGCCUGUCUGUCCUGCUUAACAGCCAACUGGCCCAGAGCCCUCAGUGUGCAUGUGUGGAAUGUGUGCGCAUUCUCCAACGGUCUGAGGGACAGUGAACUGGCCCCCUGUUUAAAAAGUUUGAGGAUCCCUGUUCUAGAGCUUUGAUUGUAAUUGGAACAUAGAGUACGGGGAAGCAAGGAUGCAAUGAAACAUGAGGCAAGAAGAUUAGUUUGGGAUUGAAUCAUGAAGCCAGACACUCUGAGGUUAAGGUUACAAAGAUGAAAAGAUGAAGAGGACAGGAUGUUGGCUCUUGAAGACUUAUCACCAACUGAGAAGCCAGACACAGAAUAACUCUCACCACAUAUCAAGACGUGGUGCAUCUCUAUUGGAGAUGGUACACAGCAUGGGGGCUGCCUGGAGCAUUAGUGAAGGUUUGCAGAGAUUAAAAUCUAUGUGAUACGGCCCUGUUGGUCAAAGACGCUGAUAAGCUCACCCUGGGGCAGCGGCUGCAGAUCACCACCCGCACGCCAUAGAGGGGGUUCUGAAGCAGCCACCGGGACGGUGGAUCACAAAUGUGAGGCUGACUCAUUACCAAGGACUUUUGCUGGACGCACCCGGCAUCGAGUUCCAGACCCCUGCCGCCUUGAAUCCGGCUACGCUUCUGCCAACCCCCGAUGCAGCCGCACCUGAACAUGAUUGCCUUGAGAUCCUAGCUGAGACCCAGACGACUCGUAGAGAUCUUGAAGGAUCGC